CUGGCUCAGAGCGAACGUUAGCGGCGGGCUUAACACAUGCAAGUCGAGCGAGAAAGGAGGCUUCGGCCUCCGAGUAAAGCGGCGGACGGGUGAGUAACACGUGGGUAAUCUGCCUUUCAGUGGGGGACAACCACCCGAAAGGGUGGCUAAUACCGCAUACGUCAUCUUAUUCUGCGGAACGAGAUGGGAAAGCUAGCCUCUGUUUACAAGCUGGCGCUGAAAGAGGAGCCCGCGGCGCAUCAGCUAGUUGGUGGGGUAAUGGCCUACCAAGGCAAAGACGCGUAGCUGGUCUGAGAGGAUGAUCAGCCACACUGGGACUGAGACACGGCCCAGACUCCUACGGGAGGCAGCAGUGGGGAAUAUUGGACAAUGGGCGAAAGCCUGAUCCAGCCACGCCGCGUGAGUGAUGAAGGGCCCUCGGGGUCGUAAAAGCUCUGUGGGAGAGGGGACGAAAAGCUACGAGGGUUAAAUAGCCUCGGGAGAUGACGGGUACCUCUUUAGCAAAGCACCGGGC
rnacentral:rRNA from 1 species